rnacentral:rRNA from 1 species
AACUAACGAGGAUUCCCCUAGUAGCGGCGAGCGAACCGGGAGAAGCCCAGCUUGAGAAUCCCGUCGUAGUCGAUUUGCGGCGGGAGUUGUAGUCUGGAGAAGUGUCCUCUGCAGCGGACCUGGCCUAAGUCCCCUGGAAAGGGGCGUCAGAGAGGGUGAGAACCCCGUCGGGCCGGGAGCCUGCUGCUCCACGAGGCACUGUCGACGAGUCGGGCUGUUUGGGAAUGCAGCCCUAAGUGGGAGGUAAAUUCCUUCCAAGGCUAAAUACGGGCGGGAGACCGAUAGCGAACAAGUACCGCGAGGGAAAGAUGAAAAGGACUUUGAAAAGAGAGUUAAAAAGUGCUUGAAAUUGCUGGGAGGGAAGCGAAUGGAGGCCUCGUGUGCGCCCCGGUCGGAUGCGGAACGGCGUUCAGCUGGUCCGCCGCUCGACGCGGGGCGCUGGUCGGCGUGGGCUUUUGUUUCCGGCGGGAUAAAAGUCGGUCUUUUUGUCGGGCCGGCCGAUGCCGUCGGGGAGGCCGAGGAAUCGAAGUGCGCGCCCUUUGUAAAAAKUGGKCGGGCUCCCCCCUCCACGGGGGAGCACAUGCGCACUCGGGACGCCGGCGUAGUGGGCUUUUCAUCCGACCCGUCUUGAAACACGGACCAAGGAGUCUAACAUGCAUGCGAGCCGGUGGGUGGCAAACCCACACGUUUUGAGAGGCGCAAAUAACUUGAUAAGGUGUGAUCCUCGAGAGGGGUGCAACAUCGACCGACCAUGAUCUUCUGUGAAAGGUUCGAGUAAGAGCAUGCCUGUUGGGACCCGAAAGAUGGUGAACUAUGCCUGAGCAGGGCGAAGCCAGAGGAAACUCUGGUGGAGGCUCGUAGCGAUACUGACGUGCAAAUCGUUCGUCAGACUCGGGUAUAGGGGCGAAAGACUMAUCGAACCAUCUAGUAGCUGGUUCCCUCYGMAGUUUCCCUCAGGAUAGCUGGAGCACGAGGAGUUUCAUCAGGUAAAGCGAAUGAUUAGAGGCAUCGGGGGUGAWACACCCUCGACCUAUUCUCAAACUUUAAAUAGGUGAGAUCCGUUUUUUAAAAAGAGGGGUUGCUUGAUUGAACCCCCGGCGGAGAAUCCG